rnacentral:rRNA from 1 species
AAAUUGAAGAGUUUGAUCAUGGCUCAGAUUGAACGCUGGCGGCAGGCCUAACACAUGCAAGUCGAACGGUAGCACAGAGAGCUUGCUCUCGGGUGACGAGUGGCGGACGGGUGAGUAAUGUCUGGGAAACUGCCUGAUGGAGGGGGAUAACUACUGGAAACGGUAGCUAAUACCGCAUAACGUCGCAAGACCAAAGAGGGGGACCUUCGGGCCUCUUGCCAUCAGAUGUGCCCAGAUGGGAUUAGCUAGUAGGUGGGGUAACGGCUCACCUAGGCGACGAUCCCUAGCUGGUCUGAGAGGAUGACCAGCCACACUGGAACUGAGACACGGUCCAGACUCCUACGGGAGGCAGCAGUGGGGAAUAUUGCACAAUGGGCGCAAGCCUGAUGCAGCCAUGCCGCGUGUAUGAAGAAGGCCUUCGGGUUGUAAAGUACUUUCAGCGGGGAGGAAGGCGUUGUGGUUAAUAACCACAGCGAUUGACGUUACCCGCAGAAGAAGCACCGGCUAACUCCGUGCCAGCAGCCGCGGUAAUACGGAGGGUGCAAGCGUUAA